CAUAUACCGUCCAUGCUGGGCUGGAUCUGAAUCAGUCCUGGGCCUGUUUAUUUUUCGAUGGUUAUUUCAAGCGUCUUUUCCUCUGACUCGGUUACUUCAUAAAGAUGUUUUAAUAAGAGAAUGUUUGUUUUCUUAACACAGUGCUGGAAUACGGUUUGAUUUCAUAAUUCCCUCCGUACAGAAGCGUGUUUAGCUCUUCUAUCAUUCCGCACACACGCGCUGGAUGUGCGUGAUCCGGUGACGUCACGACUCACGCAAGAAGCUCGACAGCGGCCACGCGCGGUCACCAUCAUCAAGUCGUGACGACAAUUUGUAGGCCAAAAUGGACGGUGUUGGAGUCAUUCCACGAAACCGUUACUUUGACAUCAUCUUCCAGAAAGUAACAUCAUUUUAGUGGGAAAUCAACAGGACCAACAUAAGUUUCCCCAUCUGCUGUUACAUGAAUAUGUUGUUCCGCCCCAAACUCACACCAUUGGUUGAGCCAGAAGUUGACUUAUCAGGGCACAGAAUCAAACAGGUUCCCUCUGCUGAAUUCAACAGAAGGUCUGUUGAACUUGUCUCACCAAGCGCUCAUGAGGGAUCAACCUGUUGGCUGAGACAAAUCUAAUAGCGGUGACAAGAACCUGCAUCACACAAGUCAGAUAUAAUAACAGCACAGACACGACAGUCACUUAAGCCGAGCAGAGACGCCUCUGGAUAAAGAGGAAUCCACGGAGGCCUGUGAAGAUUCAACACAACCUGCAUAAGAAGCUGGUGAGGUCCCUCCUCCAUCCCUUCACCUACUCGUCACUGUACAAAAGCCCUGUGUGAUGAACCGAAGAUUUUCACAGUUUGAUUCAUCGGUCAAGACCUUCUUCCAGUCUUCAGCAGUCCACUGACGGUCCCCAGGAAAGGAUUCAUUUUGUAGGCCGCUGCACUACAAAAUUUGACAUAAGUAUUUACUUGCAUAAGUAAUGUUCCACAAAACUGCAUAUGAGGCACCUUCAGAUCAUAACACGAGGGAAUUCGAGCAGAAGGCCACCUAAUUGCACUUGAUUGUGCAUGAUCUGUCUGAACGAAGACAGCAUAAUUACAUCUUCAGGUCUUUCAAACAGAUGGCCCCAUGAAAAUGAAGCUGCGUUUCCACAAUAGAAACUUCACACCGUCUAACCUCAUUCAGCAGCCGCUCUGAAAAGGUAGACCGUGAUCUCGCUGUUUCUUUCAUUCGUUUAAAAAUCCGCACCUAUUUAUCUUCUCCCACUCUCACAGUGAGGCUAAGUAUGGGAACAAUGUCACCUUUCUUGUCUUCGAAGAUUUGCGUCAUUCUAACCUCUGCGGCCCCAGCCAAUCAUGCAUGUCUGAUAUUAGAAUGCUUCCGCUUUAAUUAUCUAGUCUAGAUUCUCCAUCCUUCAUUAUAUAGGAGGCCAAUACAUUCUGUGCCCUUGACCUAUGGAAGGCUUUCUGACAGAAGAAAUUCUGUCUUCAUUUCUAGGUUGAAAAGACCAGUUUUGGGGAGUUACUAACUAAAGAAGCAAUGCUACUAAUAAAAUUUGUCAGUAGCAUGGCAUUUACCUUUAGUCAUUUCACAUUUAGUCACGGUAGUUCAGUGCAGCUUUGCCGGUAAUGAGCUAUUUUUUCCAACAAGUAGUGGUGUAGCGUGACAAAAUGCUGCACCACUGUUUUUUAUGCCAUAGUGUUUGUGCACACAGUUUCUGUGAGCUGUAUAAUCAAAUGGGCUCUGUUAAAAUUUCUUCUUUCUCUAUUUUGUAGUGCUGGGAAGUCUGAUUCAUUUUAGGGAUGCAUGUACACUACUGGUUGAAAGUUUGGGAUAAUUACGAUUUUUUGAAAGAAGUCUCUUAUGCUCACCAGUACUGCUUCUUAUUAUGUGAAAACUAUCUUUGAUGAAUACAAAAUUUAUUUGAAAUCUUUUAUAACAUUAUACAUCACUUUACUGUCACUUCUGAUCAAUUUAAUGCAUCCUUGCUGAAUAAAAGUAUUAUGGUUU